GACGAACGCUGGCGGCGUGCUUAACACAUGCAAGUCGAACGGACAUGCCCUGCUCUUGUUGGGUGCUCGAGUGGCGAACGGGUGUGUAACACGUGAGUAACCUGCCCUUGUCUUUGGGAUAACUUCAGGAAACUGUGGCUAUUACCGCAUAGGAGCUCCUGCUCCUUGGUGGGGUUUGGCGAAUUUCGUCGGUUGGGGAUGGACUCGCAGCUUAUCAGCUUUUUGGUCGGGUAGUGGCUUACCAAGGCUUUGACGGAUAGCCGGCCUGAGAGGGUGACCGGCGCCAUGGGGACUAAGAAAAGCCCCAGGAUCAUACGGGAGGCAGCAGUCGGGAAAAUUGCAGAAAGGAGCGAAGACUGAUGCAGAAACGCCGCGAGCGGGAUGAAGGGUUUCAAGUUGGAAACAGCUUUCGCCUGCAACGAACCGUGAGUGACAGUAAAGGAUAAAGAAGAAACGGAUAACUACGUG
rnacentral:rRNA from 1 species